AGUGGGGAAUUUUGGACAAUGGACGCAAGUCUGAUCCAGCCAUGCCGCGUGCGGGAAGAAGGCCUUCGGGUUGUAAACCGCUUUUGUCAGGGAAGAAACGCUCUGAGUUAAUACCUCGGGGUAAUGACGGUACCUGAAGAAUAAGCACCGGCUAACUACGUGCCAGCAGCCGCGGUAAUACGUAGGGUGCAAGCGUUAAUCGGAAUUACUGGGCGUAAAGCGUGCGCAGGCGGCUUUGCAAGACAGAUGUGAAAUCCCCGGGCUCAACCUGGGAACUGCAUUUGUGACUGCAUGGCUAGAGUGCGGCAGAGGGGGAUGGAAUUCCGCGUGUAGCAGUGAAAUGCGUAGAUAUGCGGAGGAACACCGAUGGCGAAGGCAAUCCCCUGGGCCUGCACUGACGCUCAUGCACGAAAGCGUGGGGAGCAAA
rnacentral:rRNA from 1 species